GCACGCAUCUGGCAACACACAGGGAGAUUUCAUCACUUUGCGAGCUCAUUGUCUGGGGUGAAAGUGCGACAAAAAACUGGGAAAAUCAGUGUGAAAAACGCUAAGAACUGUUGAAAAUCCAUGCGAAAGUGUUUAGUGUGUCUGAAGUAAGUAAGUCAGCCCGAAAAUCGCUGGUUGAACACAUUAAAUUGCCUUUCUUUUUCCAACACAACCAACUGCGAAAUACGCAAUAAUGGAGCGUCGCCGUGGAGGCAGUUUUGCAAAAAGUGACGAUAGUCUGGACAAUACGUCCGAGAAUGAGAGCAAUUAUGACUCCCAGCAGGAUACGGAGUCCAACGAUGAUGAGGAGUACACGCCAAGUGUGCGGACGAGGCGAACGUGUGCCAAACGUUUGGCCUCGUCGUCGGAGAAAGAAAAUGGCGUCCGGAUGUGUCGAGAGUCUCCGGGAAGAGCGGGCAAAGUGGGUGGGAAGAUAAAUCGCAUGCCAACCAGGCGACCGGACCCAAAUGUAUUCAACAGAAACGCGCUGAUGGCGCGAGAGAACAGGCGGAAGAAGAAGGAGCUGAUGGAGCAGCUGGAGAGAGAGGUUUUCGAGCUGCGCGAGAAGUCGAAGAAGCUGCACAAGAGCCUCUUCAAGCAGAGCGCCACCAUCAAGAGCCUGAAGCAGGAGAACAAGUAUUUGCAGAGUGUGAUUGGGAAUCAGACGGAGAUUGUGAAGCUGCUGAAGACACUGAACACUGGUCGUACGCAGAUUUCCUCGUCGCUGGGCCGACAGACGCCGCAGAGGGGCUUUCCAUCACCGGACAGCAGCACAUUCAUCGUGGAGCCCGACGACGAUAGCGGGGACGAUUGCCUCCAAACGCAACUGUCGCCGUGUAUCAAGACGGAGGAGUGGGAUGAGAUGUAUCCACUCUGUUUCGACCAGAUUCCCGACCUCCAGCCCACCGACAGUGAGCCAACACACAGAGUCAGUAUCAAUUCUGAACAUAAUUACGUCAAUCACCAUCCUGAUCACGAAAAUGCUGGUGUAGACAUAGGGAAGGCCGGCGUGUGUCUCCACGUGGCCAGCGGAAAGGUCUCUCUGGAGUUCUGCGCAUCCUGCCACAUGAAGGCCGCCAAUUCGUGGUUCGAGGACUAAAAGCAUCACAGGCCAGCGUCUUUUGUGAAGAUGAAAAAUGACAUCACAUUGGAUUGCUGCACAAAGGCAGAAGCCCACAAAAGAGGCAUUUAGAUCGCGAUUUAUCGCUGAGCAAAAAGACCAGCCAAGUUGGGGGCGAGAAGGUAUCUCAGCUUCGGAAGUUGUGUGUGUGUAACUCUGUGGCGCUGUAUCGUUCCGAGUUGUGACUUGUUUUGGGGGGUUGUUUGAGCAUUUUAUUCUCAUCUUUCUCACAAGUUCUUUCAGACAGCAAAGAAUCUCUCUCGAGGAUGUCUCGGCGUGAGAGGCGUCGCCCUUUGGAAGUCACAAUAAAAAUGGUAGGUGUUUGUAUUUUCCAAUUUAAAUUCUAUUGCCCAAAAAGGACUCCGAAUAUGAAUUUUAAACCUUAGUGAUGGAAAGAAGAAUCGAAUUUGAGAACGUUAGGAUGAAGAGUAUUUUGUUGUGAAAGUGAAAACGAGAGUA